AAAAGAGUUCUGAGUCGUUCCUCGUUGAUACAGCCAUGUGUUCUGCUUUGGUUGCUGCAUCAGACACUGUCCACCGAUGCACGGAGUUUCGAUUUGGGCUUGAGAGGAAAUUCAGCGGUGGAAAGAUCCUGAUCUUAUUUCCUGGCAUCAAUUGUUGCCAUGCUCAUACAUGUUUCCGGCAGACGCAUCGGUGACGACGAUUCAGGUGCCUAUACUUAUGAUGCUUGGUUUAUGGAAUUGUAUUGUUUAGAUGAAUGUGAUGAUGUUCUUGUUGAGAUUGAAUGGCUUGUGGUGGCCUUGUGUUGUUUAACGGGCGACAAGAAAAAUGUGUUCUUUAAAUCAUUUCUAGGAAAUGAGA